rnacentral:tRNA from 1 species
GUCCCAGUAGCUCAGCCGGAAGAGCAACCGCCUUCUAAGCGGUCGGUCGCAGGUUCGAGUCCUGCCUGGGAUGCCA